rnacentral:rRNA from 1 species
UACGAAGGGGGCUAGCGUUGCUCGGAAUCACUGGGCGUAAAGCGCACGUAGGCGGCUUUUUAAGUCAGGGGUGAAAUCCUGGAGCUCAACUCCAGAACUGCCUUUGAUACUGAGAAGCUUGAGUCCGGGAGAGGUGAGUGGAACUGCGAGUGUAGAGGUGAAAUUCGUAGAUAUUCGCAAGAACACCAGUGGCGAAGGCGGCUCACUGGCCCGGUACUGACGCUGAGGUGCGAAAGCGUGGGGAGCAACAGGAUUAAGAAACCCUGGU